UCUAAUAUGGCAGAAUAGUGCAUUGAAUUUAAGCUUCAAAUAUAAAUUAAUAUUUUUUUAGAA
rnacentral:tRNA from 1 species